CCUUCGGUUGGCAAGUAAGAACUAAGCUUUUAACUGGCUGAAUUAAUUGAGGUGCUGGGGAUGCGAUGGCCAUAAAAACUGACAUGCUUCCACAGAGCUUGCAGCCCAGUGGAAAGAGAAAAGAGAGGGACAACAAUGGAAUCCUUGUCUUUCCAAUCUUAUAAAGAAUAUGGAAAUCCCUCACGUCUUACAUGGGAGCUCUUCAGAUUCCAAGAUUCCAUCACUCCUCAACACUUCUCCUGCCUCUCUCACCUGGAUGAUUGCAUUACCCUCCCAACUAGUUCCGCCAACCCCCCACCCGACCCCACUGCUUCUUCCCCCUACAGUUCAUUCUUAGCCAAACAGAUUCUUUUAAAACUAAGCCAAGUUGUGUUACCACAGUGCUCAAAACUCUCCAGGUUACCCAGAAAAUCAAAACCACAAGGAGAUACAACUUCACACUCACUGGGAUGGCUAUAAUCGAAAAGACAGAUAAUAACACAUGUUGGUCAGGAUGCGAUGAAAUUGGGACCCUCAUACACUGCUGGUGGGAACGUAAAAUGGUGCAGCUGUUUUGAAAAAUAAUCUGGCAGUUUCUCCAAUGGUUAAACAUUUCUAUUCCUCACCUAAGAGAGGAAUUUCUGGCUAGUUGACUUGAUAUCCCCCAGGUAGCUUUCCUACAAUAACCCUGUGGGGGCUUGACUCAACACUUCUACUCCUAAGUGAGAAACAGAAAUGAAAACAUAUUUCCUCACCAAAACUUGUACCUGAAUGUUCAUAGGAGUAUUAUUCAUAAUUGCUACAAAGUGGAAACAACCCAAAUACCUAUUAACCGAUGAAUAAAUUAAAAAUGGUAUAUACAGUGGAAUAUUAGCCAGUAAUGAAAAGAAAUGCAGUAUUAAUACAUGCUACAACACUGCUGAAUCUGAAAACACAGCCCAAAAGAAGCCAGUCACCAAAAAUCACAUUUUAUGUGAGUCCAUUUAUACGAAAUGUCCAGAAUAGGCAAAUCCAUAGAGAAAGAAGGCAGAUUAAUAGAUGUCUAGCACAGAGGGACUUGAGGGUAAGUGGGGAAUGGCUGUGGAAUUUCUCGUUGGGGUGAUGAACAUAUUCUAAAAUUGAUUGUUGUGAU
rnacentral:lncRNA from 1 species